UACAGAGGGUGCGAGCGUUAAUCGGAGUAACUGGGCGUAAAGGGCACGUAGGCGGUUAUAUUAGUCUGAUGUGAAAGACCUGGGCUUAAACUGGGAUGUGCAUUGGAAACGGUAUGGCUAGAGUAUGGGAGAGGGAAGUGGAAUUUCCGGUGUAGCGGUGAAAUGCGUAGAGAUCGGAAAGAACACUCGUGGCGAAGGCGGCUUUCUGGCCCAAAACUGACGCUGAGGUGCGAAAGCGUGGGGAGCAAACAGG
rnacentral:rRNA from 1 species